UGAGUGACUCUUGGUAUAAACUGUACCAUAAAUUUAAAAAAGAAGCAAGUAAAAAAUACACUAAGCAUCAUAUUAAAACCAAUGUCAAAUAAUAAAACCCAGUCUCAUGAGUCACUUUAAGGACACGACACACGAUGAUAGUGGCAUAGGAGAAACUAAUCUGAAGUGGAACAUUGAACAUCAUUUUAAGAAAACAACCUCAGAUGUUGAAACUCAAUCAAUCCAGGUAUGAACUACAUUAUAAAACUUAAAGGAAUAGUUAGAAGUCAAAAGCACAUGAAAUAUAAUUUUAAAACUUAGUUUGAUCACUCACUUAUAGUGUACACCAUACUAUAAAACUGAGAAGAAAAGGAACAAAUAUAUAAGAACUGAGUCUGAGGAGACACUCCUCAUAUAAACUAUACUAUGAAAGUGAGAAAAGAAGAAACAAAUUGUGGGAAAUUAGUAGUUUAUGAAAACAAUUUUAAAAUCAAUAUCAAUUGACAAGAAAUGUCUUCUCUGACUCAUAGUAUAAAGUGUACCCUAAAACUAAAAAAAGUAAGAAAUUGAGAAGUGAAAAGUUCACAAAACAUUAAUUUAGAACAAAGCCCAAGUAAUGAAAUGAUUUGUGGUAUGAUUUUUGCAAUGAUUUUUCAUGUUUUACUAUCUUCUCACUCUUUGUUCUUCUGUCCUCAGUUUCAUACUUUAGUUUAUACCAGGAGUGAGUGAUCAUAGAGUUAUCAAUUGUGGUUCGUUUUAAAGUGAUGCUUUAUACACUACUUAUAUCACAGUAUGUUUCUUUGCUCACUUUUAAAGUAUAGUUUUUACCAAGUGACUGAUCAGGUUCAGUUCUUAUCAUUUGAGUUUGAAGUACUAGAAGUGACUUAUCAGAUUGAGUUCUUUAUAUUAUUAUACUCAAUUCUCAUUGGUUCCUUCUUUUCUCAAAUGCAUUGUCAUUUAUACCAGGACUGAGUGAUCAGAAAGUUCUCAUCAUUUAAAUAUAUACUGCAGUAUCAGACUGAGUUGGUUUUUUCUAGAAGAAAGGUUUUAUGUUUUACUUCUCCCUAUUUGUUUCUUGUCUUCUAAGUUAAUAAAGUUUAAACCUA